UUCCUGGGAAAAAGCAAAACGAAAGAGGCUAGUGACAGCUCGGGCCGGGCAGGGUCAGCGUGUCCCUCCCCAUCGCCGGGCCUCGGGCCCCGCGUCCCUGGGAACCCGUGGGGCCGCCCGGGCUCAGGCUCGCAGGCCGGGGCCAGAGCCACCGGUUCUGAGCCCGGAGCUCAGGCUCGGGCGAAGCCCGGGACAGAGGUGGGACGCCAGGGGCAGUACCGACAGCAGGGUUCCGGUCACCCCUGAACGUGCACGGGAACCCGCGGGCGGGAACCGUCCGUACCAGUCACCGGAGGGCCUCCGCAUUCAGGCCCGCUCCCUGUCCACCUCCAAGAUGGCCGCCGCCACCGUCCCGCCGGGGCCGCCGGGGCCGCCCAGGCCCGAGGAGUCGCCUCCGAGCGCAUCGAUGCUGCCUGUCGAUCUCCGAGCAGAUGAUGCACGCAGGGCUCCAAAGCUGAGCAGGUUCAUUGGAUAAACAGGAUCAGAAGAUAAGAAAAGUAUGGAGGCCUGAGAAGAAAAGGAUCUUUACAUCAUGGAGUUCAACUGAAGUUUUUUGCCAGCUGAGAAGUAUGAGUUCGAGCACUGUUACCAGCAUUUGCUAUAAAGUACAGAGAAUAAAAUUGCAUGCUGUCGUUGGAUCGCCUGGGAAGGAACUACUACAUUGUUCACAAAGAAGAGCAGGGCUUGAACUAAGGUGGAUGAAGAACAUCCAUUUUCCCCUUUAUGGAGAAGAUAUGCCCACACUUAUGAAAAAACCAGGGACCACUAAUGAACACAGGAGUCUUAUUGAGGAACAAGGAACAAGAGUCCUUCCUAGAGGCUGGAGAGAUGGCUCAGAAGGUGAGAGCACUGGCUGCUCUUGCUGAAGGCUUGGCUUUGGUUCCCAGCACCCACAGAGCAGCUUCCAUCUGUCUGUAACUCCAGUUCCAGGAGAUGUCCUCUUCCGACCUCCAGGGGGACUAGGCAUGCGCGUGAUACACUUACAUAUGUGCAUACAAACACGUCUACACAUAAAAUAAGGGCUAUUAUUUUAUUAUUUUUUUCUUAUUCCUACACUAGGACAGAGGGGUGACUUUGUUGAAGGGUUUUUAAUGAGUAGUGGGCGAUGACAUUUUGGUUACUCUGCCAUUCAAAGGAAGAAGCAUAAAUCCCCUCCAAAGACAUAUAGUUUUGUGUGUCCCUCACUGCUUCUUGUACUUCGCCAAAGUGAUCAAUAGAUAGGCACUGAAAGUUAAACAGAUGCAGCUGUGGUGGCAGCUAUCAUCAAUAACAGCUAUGCGCUGGUUCUGACUCUGGGUCUCACAGCUACGCCCUAUCUGCCUUCCCAACGGUGCUGCCCAGUAGGUGGGAAUUUUUACAUUUCAUAGAAUGAAGUGAGACCCAGAUAUGGAGUGAACCUUCAGAAGCCACAGAGCUGCGUGCACUGAGGGCUUUGAGAUUCAAACGUGGAUUGGCGUGGUUUCCAAAUUUUCAUUCUGUCCUUGAGAACAAAACGACGGAGAGGGGAGAGAGGUGAAUGGCCGGGAGGCAGGUGAAUGGUGGGGAGGAGGCCAAUGGCAGCCCGUCUGGCGCCGGUCUGGUUUCUCUUCUCCCUACUCCCCUUUGGUUUGUUCUUAGUCGGUAUAAGGGAGAGAAUUUUAUGGAAUUCUAAAGGGUGAUCAAAGUCCCAGCUCAUGAGAUUAUUCAGAAGCUAAUAUGUAACCCUUGGGUGGGGGUUUCUAGUUCAUCUGCCCUCACAGCUGCUUGCAUUAAUGCUUUCUGAUCAAUACAUGUGGUCCUUUUCUGUAGCGUGUCUGAGUUCUCAAUAAUGAAGGAUGCGCAUGAAAGCAAACCAAGAAAUCACAGGGUGCUCAACCUGCAAAGGCUAUGGCAUUGUGAAGACAGGAGUUUUAACCAAUCAGAAUGGACGAAAGACAACGUUUCUGGUCAGCCAAGCAGAUCUAAAGCAUACUAGAAACUUAGAAAAACUUGCUGUGUUAUUUUAAUGAAAGAUUUUAUCGAGCUUUUACUUGAUUCCAAUAAAAUAAGAAUAAUCAGAAACAUUUUAAAAGAAAGAUCUGCCACAGCUUUGUUAUUUGUCUUGCUUGCAGAGCUCAGCUAUUGAAGA